rfam:Oryza sativa (indica cultivar-group) chromosome 9, whole genome shotgun sequence.
AAUAAGUACAGUUUUAUAUGGUUCAUGUCCAACUUUGACCGUUCAUUUUAUUUGAAAAUUUUUAAUGAUUAGUAUUUUAUUGUUAUUAGAUGAUAAAACAUGAAUAGUACUUUAUGUGUGACUAACUUUUUUUAAAAUUUUUCAAAAAACUUUUAAAUUUUUUUUAAACGUUGGAUACGGAUUCCCACGGCUACUUAUU